rnacentral:rRNA from 1 species
UACGGAGGGUGCGAGCGUUGUCCGGAAUCACUGGGCGUAAAGGGCGCGUAGGCGGCGCGUGCAGUCGGCGGUGAAAGCCCGGAGCUCAACUCCGGGUCGGCCGUCGAUACUCUCGUGCUUGAGCACUGUAGAGGCAGGUGGAAUUCCGGGUGUAGCGGUGGAAUGCGUAGAGAUCCGGAAGAACACCAGUGGCGAAGGCGGCUAUCUGGACGGUUUCUGACACUAAGACUCGAAAGCGUGGGGAGCAAACAGG